rnacentral:rRNA from 1 species
UUAAGCGACUAAGCGUACACGGUGGAUGCCCUGGCAGUCAGAGGCGAUGAAGGACGUGCUAAUCUGCGAUAAGCGUCGGUAAGGUGAUAUGAACCGUUAUAACCGGCGAUUUCCGAAUGGGGAAACCCAGUGUGUUUCGACACACUAUCAUUAACUGAAUCCAUAGGUUAAUGAGGCGAACCGGGGGAACUGAAACAUCUAAGUACCCCGAGGAAAAGAAAUCAACCGAGAUUCCCCCAGUAGCGGCGAGCGAACGGGGAGCAGCCCAGAGCCUGAAUCAGUGUGUGUGUUAGUGGAAGCGUCUGGAAAGGCGCGCGAUACAGGGUGACAGCCCCGUACACAAAAAUGCACAUGCUGUGAGCUCGAUGAGUAGGGCGGGACACGUGGUAUCCUGUCUGAAUAUGGGGGGACCAUCCUCCAAGGCUAAAUACUCCUGACUGACCGAUAGUGAACCAGUACCGUGAGGGAAAGGCGAAAAGAACCCCGGCGAGGGGAGUGAAAAAGAACCUGAAACCGUGUACGUACAAGCAGUGGGAGCACGCUUAGGCGUGUGACUGCGUACCUUUUGUAUAAUGGGUCAGCGACUUAUAUUCUGUAGCAAGGUUAACCGAAUAGGGGAGCCGAAGGGAAACCGAGUCUUAACUGGGCGUUAAGUUGCAGGGUAUAGACCCGAAACCCGGUGAUCUAGCCAUGGGCAGGUUGAAGGUUGGGUAACACUAACUGGAGGACCGAACCGACUAAUGUUGAAAAAUUAGCGGAUGACUUGUGGCUGGGGGUGAAAGGCCAAUCAAACCGGGAGAUAGCUGGUUCUCCCCGAAAGCUAUUUAGGUAGCGCCUCGUGAAUUCAUCUCCGGGGGUAGAGCACUGUUUCGGCAAGGGGGUCAUCCCGACUUACCAACCCGAUGCAAACUACGAAUACCGGAGAAUGUUAUCACGGGAGACACACGGCGGGUGCUAACGUCCGCCGUGAAGAGGGAAACAACCCAGACCGCCAGCUAAGGUCCCAAAGUCAUGGUUAAGUGGGAAACGAUGUGGGAAGGCCCAGACAGCCAGGAUGUUGGCUUAGAAGCAGCCAUCAUUUAAAGAAAGCGUAAUAGCUCACUGGUCGAGUCGGCCUGCGCGGAAGAUGUAACGGGGCUAAACCAUGCACCGAAGCUGCGGCAGCGACGCUUAUGCGUUGUUGGGUAGGGGAGCGUUCUGUAAGCCUGUGAAGGUGUACUGUGAGGUAUGCUGGAGGUAUCAGAAGUGCGAAUGCUGACAUAAGUAACGAUAAAGCGGGUGAAAAGCCCGCUCGCCGGAAGACCAAGGGUUCCUGUCCAACGUUAAUCGGGGCAGGGUGAGUCGACCCCUAAGGCGAGGCCGAAAGGCGUAGUCGAUGGGAAACAGGUUAAUAUUCCUGUACUUGGUGUUACUGCGAAGGGGGGACGGAGAAGGCUAUGUUGGCCGGGCGACGGUUGUCCCGGUUUAAGCGUGUAGGCUGGUUUUCCAGGCAAAUCCGGAAAAUCAAGGCUGAGGCGUGAUGACGAGGCACUACGGUGCUGAAGCAACAAAUGCCCUGCUUCCAGGAAAAGCCUCUAAGCAUCAGGUAACAUCAAAUCGUACCCCAAACCGACACAGGUGGUCAGGUAGAGAAUACCAAGGCGCUUGAGAGAACUCGGGUGAAGGAACUAGGCAAAAUGGUGCCGUAACUUCGGGAGAAGGCACGCUGAUAUGUAGGUGAAGUGAUUUACUCAUGGAGCUGAAAUCAGUCGAAGAUACCAGCUGGCUGCAACUGUUUAUUAAAAACACAGCACUGUGCAAACACGAAAGUGGACGUAUACGGUGUGACGCCUGCCCGGUGCCGGAAGGUUAAUUGAUGGGGUCAGCGCAAGCGAAGCUCUUGAUCGAAGCCCCGGUAAACGGCGGCCGUAACUAUAACGGUCCUAAGGUAGCGAAAUUCCUUGUCGGGUAAGUUCCGACCUGCACGAAUGGCGUAAUGAUGGCCAGGCUGUCUCCACCCGAGACUCAGUGAAAUUGAACUCGCUGUGAAGAUGCAGUGUACCCGCGGCAAGACGGAAAGACCCCGUGAACCUUUACUAUAGCUUGACACUGAACAUUGAGCCUUGAUGUGUAGGAUAGGUGGGAGGCUUUGAAGUGUGGACGCCAGUCUGCAUGGAGCCGACCUUGAAAUACCACCCUUUAAUGUUUGAUGUUCUAACGUGGACCCGUAAUCCGGGUUGCGGACAGUGUCUGGUGGGUAGUUUGACUGGGGCGGUCUCCUCCUAAAGAGUAACGGAGGAGCACGAAGGUUGGCUAAUCCUGGUCGGACAUCAGGAGGUUAGUGCAAUGGCAUAAGCCAGCUUGACUGCGAGCGUGACGGCGCGAGCAGGUGCGAAAGCAGGUCAUAGUGAUCCGGUGGUUCUGAAUGGAAGGGCCAUCGCUCAACGGAUAAAAGGUACUCCGGGGAUAACAGGCUGAUACCGCCCAAGAGUUCAUAUCGACGGCGGUGUUUGGCACCUCGAUGUCGGCUCAUCACAUCCUGGGGCUGAAGUAGGUCCCAAGGGUAUGGCUGUUCGCCAUUUAAAGUGGUACGCGAGCUGGGUUUAGAACGUCGUGAGACAGUUCGGUCCCUAUCUGCCGUGGGCGCUGGAGAACUGAGGGGGGCUGCUCCUAGUACGAGAGGACCGGAGUGGACGCAUCACUGGUGUUCGGGUUGUCAUGCCAAUGGCACUGCCCGGUAGCUAAAUGCGGAAGAGAUAAGUGCUGAAAGCAUCUAAGCACGAAACUUGCCCCGAGAUGAGUUCUCCCUGACUCCUUGAGAGUCCUGAAGGAACGUUGAAGACGACGACGUUGAUAGGCCGGGUGUGUAAGCGCAGCGAUGCGUUGAGCUAACCGGUACUAAUGAACCGUGAGGCUUAACCUU